rnacentral:rRNA from 1 species
UACGGGGGGGGCAAGCGUUGUUCGGAAUUACUGGGCGUAAAGGGCUCGUAGGCGGCCAACUAAGUCCGACGUGAAAUCCCUAGGCUCAACCUAGGAACUGCGUCUGAUACUGGAUGGCUUGAAUCCGGGAGAGGGAUGCAGAAUUCCAGGUGUAGCGGUGAAAUGCGUAGAUAUCUGGAGGAAUACCGGUGGCGAAGGCGGCAUCCUGGACCGGCAUUGACGCUGAGGAGCGAAAGCCAGGGGAGCAAACGGG